AUUUUUUAGUUUUGCCCAUGCUAGAUAUAUGUGGUAUAAUUACUUGAUAGCUUGGUGAUUUGCGUAGUUCAGGCACAGGAGCUGUGCUGAAUUUUGGACUGGGACUACCUACCAGUCCAUUCGAACAGAUAAUUUGAAUUUGAAUCUUGACUCUUGGAAGGGUAUUGACGUUUUGUUGGUAGUACCUUUACAUUGUUAUUCUCAUGGGUAUGCGGCAAAUUGUGCAAAUACGGCAUUUAAUCCUUAGACAGAGAAGCCUCCUGCUUUUUCUGUCCUUUGUGCGCUAAUCGGACACCUGAAAAGGUAAUUGUGCUUGUCAAUUGGCAUUGAGCCUUGUGGUUUCCACAAUUCUUGAUUCGACAUGAGCAUAUAUAUGAGAAUAUGCUUACUUGUAGUUGGGAGGAAUAGGUUCUCUUCGAGUGUCUUGGUUUUGGAAUAUGUCGACGUCGGAACCUAGCAGUGCCUUCCUUCACAUAGCUUCUCUCGAUGUAGUUGAGCUUUUUGAAUUUUGGCAAGGAAGCUUCUUGCAUACUCAUUAAGAAGGAGUGAGCACUAGCGCAGAGCCGAGGCUCGAACUCUUGCGGGCUGUGUAGGGCUGUCGUUGAGCUUCCUAACUGGUUUUCCCCUUAAAUAAUACACAUGAGAAUCUUUUCUCUAUGUAAUUUUGGAGGUUUUUUUAGAAUUAAUGUAAUUUUGGAGGUUUCUGUUAGUAAAUAGGUAAGCGGUUGGCUCCUUGUGGAAUUUUUUCCUACCUAACUUCAAUGGGCAUGGCGACGUUCUCAUGUUCAUAAGGCUUUGAAUAUAAACACUCAUACUUCAAGCGAGCUAUUGGCUUUCACAUGUCUAGACGAUACACUUGACCUUCCUUCACACAUAUCUAUUAUCAAAUCAUUUUUUUUUGAAUUUGUACGGUUUAUUGAACUUGACAAAGCUAAAGUGAAAAAAUAAAUUUUAAAUGAUUUACAUGUUCAUAGAUUUCCUUGUACCCUAUUUGUAUCAAUCAACCUUGUUUACUAUUUAUUUUGGAAAAAGUCUAUUUUACUCCCCCAACAAUCACAUUUGUCUGUUUGACCCCAGACAAAAACUUGACUCAUUUUACUACCUCCAACUAUUCAAUACCCAUCUAAAAAAAUAUUCAAUACCGGACAUUUUACCCCCUGACCCAGUUUUUAAGGCUGUUUUGCUGACAUGUUAGUGGUUUUGACAGCGUGGACACAUGACUUAUCAUCUGCUUCUUCCACGCCAUCUCUGUCUUCUUCCUCUCUCUGCCAUCCACGAAGAGGAAGCAGAAUAUGGCGGUGGAGGUGACCAGCCGUGGCGUGCAGUGCAGUAGCUGGAUCCACUCCUCCCCACGUCACGUUCACACCAUGGCAUCGGCCUUCCUCCCACCACUGCCCACGACUGCUUUGGUUGGUUGAUGUGGAUACCAGAUCCGUCAGCGUUAUUUGUUCGACUCGCGUUCUUCCCUUCUUGAAUUAUCUGCAGCAGUCAGGCGGUGAUCCCCUAAAAUCGUCGAGUUAGACACGAACCCAAGCUGAGUGCACAUCGCCUCCAUUGAUUUAGUGUUCUGCUAGCCCGUGUCUCGUCAAACAACUCCUAUGAUCAUGGACUGCUGCAAGGCCCAUUCAAGUUCAAUUAGAACUUGAUAUUUGCUGGCAACAACCAUUGCUAUUACAAAAAUCAAUUAUGUUUGAGAUGAGGAACUGAAGCUCUCUGUCUGUUGCUUUGCUUUUGCGGCAAUAUGGGGAGGAGGGGGCAAGGGGACUGGGUGGCUUCCACCUGUUCCCCGGCGAUGAGGUCACCUUAGAUGCCCCUUUGGGCUGGUCGGGCCAUGUGUGGACUCGCCGCGGUUGCUCUUCGAUGCCCAUGGCCGUGACACCUGCGUCAUCAGGGACUGCAGCAGCACGCUCCGCUACUCGAGCUGCCUCAGGGUGCUAUGUGGCUAGGUGCCAAGCGGACCUAAAUCUGUGUUGUUCGUCGGCGCUAGAGGUGAGGUAUUGGGAGGCAGAGAGGCAGUGGACACCAUGCCACCAUGGUUGAAGCAAUGGCGCCGUGAGCCAUUGGGGAGAGAGAGGUGGAAAGGAGGAAGAAGAAGUUUUACACUGACAAGUGGGCCCCAUUGUGCAAAACAAUUUAUAAAAGAAUUUUACUGACUCAUUGCCAUGUAUUAGGCCACAUCAGCAAAACAACCCUCAAAACCGGUCAAGGGGUAAAAUAUCUGGUAUUGAAUAGUUGGAGGUAGUAAAUCAAGUCAAGUUUUUGUUUGGGGGGUCAGUCAGACAAAUGGAUUGUUGGGGGGAGUAAAGUGGACUUUUUCCAUUUAUUUUUCUUACUUUAUUACUUUACGCAAUUGGUCAUCUCUUUUCCCUCCUGCAUUUGCUUCUCUCUAGACAUGUAUAUUGCAAGACUAAUCAGUUAUUCAGCUCUCAAAGUUUAGUGAACAGUUGAAUGCUGGCCCUACGAUGUCUUAAAUAUGCUUGUUCCUGAUGCUUCUUGGCUCCUUGUUUAUGUUGCUUUCUUCUUUUAAUGUUGUGCCCACAGGAGUCUUGCAAGACCUCUUGUACAGCUAAUAAUGUCUCUAGUUGGUGCUUUCUUCAUGAAGAUGAUAUGGUUGUCUUUAUUUUGUAGUGCCACCCUGAGAGCAUCAACAUGUUAUGUAUGACUUGCAAUAUUUUGGUCACAUGGAUGAAUUAUAAAGAUUUGAUUGUAUACAUGGAACAUUGACUUCUUUUCCACAGUAAUUAUGGGAGCUAAUUGCUGCAUAGCUGCCAAGGAGAGGUCACAGCCAUGUUUAGCUUCAGUUGAAGUUUCAGCAUACAGGAUAAGACACUCGCCAUCAUGGAACUUCCGGUGGGACAACCGUACACACAUAGAAGAUAUAAUGCAGAACAAUACAGUGUUCUCUAAUCACAGUAGUGGAAACAUUCAGCCAGAACUGAAAAGUGGUUCCAUUACACCAACUGAAGGCCAUACCGGUGGGGAUAGCCUUUCUGAUGUGUUCCGCAGGGUCAAGCGGCAAAAAUCUGAUAAAAAAAUGGAAGCAUCCAAGCUUUCAAAAGUUGAUCCUCGAGCAGAUCAAUCUACCACAAAAAAUUCACCCCCAGAGGCAAAUUCCCAUAAAUCACUAGACAUGGUUACUGUUGCUUCAGAUAUGAAGACAUCAAAGUCUCCUCCUUCAGCACCAUCUCUAGUAUCCAAAGCAAAACCAGCAGAUCCUUCAUCCUCUAUGAGUCAUUCUAUUCACAUGGACCCAAAUUCAAUAAGGAAAGCAUGUUGGUCACCAGGGCAUCAACUAGACAGGCAGAUCUCGGAUGGCAAUAUCCCAUCCCUCAAGACCUUAAGUGAGAACAGCUCUGCAGAAAUAAUACCAUCAAGCUCCAUGCUCUCUGCCUGUAGCAAUGAUAUGUUUUCAGGGUUAUCAUAUGAUGAGUCAUCUGAUGGGUGGUCAACUCGCACACCUUCAGAAUUGGUGGCUACAUCUCAAAACGAGCGUGUUGGCUCCAUUGCAGCUAGUAAACUACCACGAUCAAAUGCUUCAGAUCCCACUGCCCUCUCCCCUAACCAAGAGGUAUGCAAGCUAUGUUCAAGACUAUUAAAGGAACGAUCUUCAUGGAAUGGUCAUGAGCUGGCAGUUGUUGCUGUUCUAUUCUGUGGUCAUGCAUACCAUGCAAAUUGUUUGGAUAGUAUUACUGCAGAAAGUGAGAAAUACGAUCCUCCUUGUCCUGUGUGCACCCAUGGUGAGACAUGUACAGCAAAACUAUUUGGAAAGCUGGAAUCAAAGAUUAAGAACAAGACAUCAAAAAAUAUGGCUGGUAGUGAUCUUGAUCGGAGCUCGAAGCACCAGAAGAAAAGUAUGAGAGAACCCAGGCUGGGCACAAGUUCUAGUAUUAAGGACUCGUUUAGUCGGCCAUUUUUGAGGAGGCAUUUUUCAACUGGUUCUCGACCACCAAGAUCAGUUUUUGGGGGUGAGACAACAAGAAAGAAGGGCUUUUGGUCAAGGCAUUGGAGAGAAUAGCUAGCUGGGCAUCAUCUAUGUGGUGAGCAGUUUCGCAUUUUCUGUUCCGUAAACUCAAUUCUGAUAGGGAAGCGCUUGCUGGUGCGAGUCCCUGACCGAACAAGAAUAUUGUCUUGUGAAGUCAAAACCGGUGCAAAGGAUCAAGCUGUUGAGCUACCUCCUCCAUAUUACAUGAUACCACACUAUUAAUUGAAGCACUCAUUGUGCUAGCACAAAUGUAGUGUGUAAAAUUUGUCUUGUACUAUGCAAGUAUGCCACCAAGGGUUGGUUGUGGUCUUGCGGACCUGAGUCAUAGUCGCAGUACAAUAGAACAUUGAAAGGAUAUACCCUUCCGGACGGUGUUGUCAUGGUCAUGCUGGUUUGAAAGGUUAAGAUUCGGCAUGCUAUAUUGUUUUGUUUGCGCCUUCUAUUGUAAUAUUUAUUGUUGGAUCAUACAUAAUCUGGAGACUGUAGCACACACAAAUAGUUGUUAGGAAGUGUUAUCGUCUUAUUGCAAUUUGCAAGCUGCACACAGAUUGUUAUGAAGGAUUUCAGAUUGGAGUUGCAGGAGUUCAAUAAAUGGGAAUCAUCCUGAUGUUUAUUUUGAAAUGCAAGUCGCACCCGGUGAUGAAUGGUUGAACGCGAGAGCUAUUCGGUUCAAUGUAACCAUAUAUUGGUGCCCUGUAGUGUAUAUUUUUGAGACAAAUGAAUGAGUGAUGCUUGUUGUUUUCUUUUC